UGCAAGUCGAGCGGUAACAGAUCCAGCUUGCUGGAUGCUGACGAGCGGCGGACGGGUGAGUAAUGCAUAGGAAUCUGCCCGAUAGUGGGGGAUAACCUGGGGAAACCCAGGCUAAUACCGCAUACGUCCUACGGGAGAAAGGGGGCUCCGGCUCCCGCUAUGGGAUGAGCCUAUGUCGGAUUAGCUAGUUGGUGAGGUAACGGCUCACCAAGGCCACGAUCCGUAGCUGGUCUGAGAGGAUGAUCAGCCACAUCGGGACUGAGACACGGCCCGAACUCCUACGGGAGGCAGCAGUGGGGAAUAUUGGACAAUGGGGGAAACCCUGAUCCAGCCAUGCCGCGUGUGUGAAGAAGGCUCUCGGGUUGUAAAGCACUUUCAGCGAGGAAGAACGCCUAGCGGUUAAUACCCGCUAGGAAAGACAUCACUCGCAGAAGAAGCACCGGCUAACUCCGUGCCAGCAGCCGCGGUAAUACGGAGGGUGCGAGCGUUAAUCGGAAUUACUGGGCGUAAAGCGCGCGUAGGUGGCUUGAUAAGCCGGUUGUGAAAGCCCCG
rnacentral:rRNA from 1 species